rnacentral:rRNA from 1 species
CACGUAGGGUGCGAGCGUUGUCCGGAAUUAUUGGGCGUAAAGAGCUCGUAGGCGGUGUGUCACGUCGGCCGUGAAAACCCGCAGCUCAACUGUGGGCGGGCAGCUGAUACGGGCAGGCUGGAGUUCGGUAGGGGAGACUGGAAUUCCUGGUGUAGCGGUGGAAUGCGCAGAUAUCAGGAGGAACACCGAUUGCGAAGGCAGCUCGCUGGGACGUAACUGACGCUGAGGCGCGAAAGCGUGGGUAGCAAACAGG